UACAGAGGUGGCAAGCGUUGUUCGGAAUCACUGGGCUUAAAGGGCGCGUAGGCGGGCUGUCAAGUCUGGGGUGAAAUGCCGCGGCUCAACCGUGGAACUGCCUUAGAUACUGACGGCCUCGAGGGAGGUAGGGGCGUGCGGAACUGUAGGUGGAGCGGUGAAAUGCGUUGAUAUCUACAGGAACUCCGGUGGCGAAAGCGGCGCGCUGGACCUCUUCUGACGCUGAGGCGCGAAAGCUAGGGGAGCAAACGGG
rnacentral:rRNA from 1 species